rnacentral:tRNA from 1 species
UUACUUAUAGUGUAAUAAACACAUUAAAUUUUCGUUUUAGAGAUAUGAUUAAUUCAUUAAGUAAU